GGCCUUCGGUACCAAACAGACCUAGACAUCCUGAAUCUCAGUUUCCUACUCAGAAAAAUGGAACAAUAAUACUCGCCUUGCAGGCCCAUCGUGAGGAUAGGCGUUGUUCCGCGGAAGGUGCAAGCCAUCAGCGGCUCCAGAAUUUCUAAACCGGAAGGACUUGCGGGUGUGGAGCACAUGGAGAUGCUGAAAUCCUGUUCCAUUUGCCAGCGGUCUCCUGACUGCCACCCCGUUAUUCAUUUCUCAUCUGCCUCUGCCACUUACCUAGGAGCUUCUCAGCAGACGUCUAUCUGGAUUGCCUGGAUCCUGAGCCCAACAGAGAGCUGGGCACGGAGUGAGCUGCUUCUCCUUGGCAGACUCCUUGCGAGCUGAGAAAAGAAGCAGAUGUCAGAGACAUGCCAAAGCAGUGCACCAAAUUGAGCCUCCCCGCUGCUUCCCAGCACACCUUCAGCCUUCUCUUUAAGGUGCUGGUGCUGAUCCAGGAGGCUGACGUUGGACUGUGGGCCCAGAGGGAUGUCGUCCUCAUCUCCCCGGGGCUCGCUGCCGCUGUCCUGCAGCUCCUCCUCCGCAGCUCCUUUGCGCCUUCGCUGCAAUAGCUUCUGGAGCUGAGGUUCCACCAGCGCCCCUCAGAGCCAAGCCCAAGACAAAGCGGAGUAUCGGGCCCAGGGGGCUUGCGUCAGGAUCUUGGUUUUUGGGAGAGGGUCCUGUGCCACGCGACAUGGAGGUGCCCUACCCCUCAGAUCAGACUGGCAGUCCCUGGUUUGCCUAGGGGCCACGGUCCCAACUACUGACAGCUCACUCCACUGGAUGCCACCCUCCCUCCCACACCCUCAUUUCUCUUCCGACCCGAGGCCCUCACCAACAGUUGCCGCCGCUGUCGCAAAGGCACGUAAGGCACGUAGUCUUCGUCGUCCUCAUCCUCCGCCUCGGAGCGGCUUCCUGUGGCAGUCGCUUCAUCUGUGCGAACACGCUACAGAUACACAUGAAUUAGGCCCAGGCCCCCGCUUUCACAGCUGCUCGCCACCCGCACCGACCCCUACCUCGCUCCCACCUUCCGUUCAGGUUCCGAGUCCUCCAUCCUUUGCUGUACGCAGGCGCGCUACGGUAAAACCCCGCCUCAAUUUUUGCGUGAGAUCCAAUCAGAUGUGAAGAAGCGGAAGGUCGGCACCUAGCAACGACCUCUGAGUGCCGGAUCGCGCAGAGGGACAAACUUUCCCGAGACCCUGUCAGGCAGUGCAGCGUCAAAGUACCCUGGGGCGGCUGCGCAUUUGUUGCCAGGGGCGAGGGCGAAGCGUCAUACAAUGCAUUAUGGGACGCUGGAGGACUUGGAGCAUGCGCUAAAAGCUCAAACGAAGCCUGGUGGAAGGUCCCACGAGUGGAGAUACAGAAGAGACCCGCCUACCGGAGGCCUAGCUUCGCCCAUAGCCUGACGUCAUCUGGCACGUUCCGGGACUGGGCCAGCUGGGACCCCACCGGGGACUCCAUCCCGGGCACGGGGCGCGGGUAACGAAUCAACUUGCACCGCAGCUCUGACUGGCGUCCUUAUCUAUGUGACAACACGUAUGUUCAGAGUGGUGAGGGAUAAAUAAAAUACUGAUGACAGUG